rnacentral:rRNA from 1 species
UACGGGGGGAGCAAGCGUUGUUCGGAUUUACUGGGCGUAAAGGGCGCGUAGGCGGUCAGCACAAGUCAGUUGUGAAAUCUCCGGGCUUAACUCGGAAAGGUCAACUGAUACUGUGCGACUAGAGUGCGGAAGGGGCAACUGGAAUUCUCGGUGUAGCGGUGGAAUGCGUAGAGAUCCGGAGGAACACCAGCGGCGAAGGCGGCAUCCUGGACUGGUCCUGACACUCAUGAGCGAAAGCGUGGGGAGCGAUCCGG